GGCUAUUAUAGCGAAGGAAAGUUGUAUUGGAAUGUACAUUUAGUCCGUCUAUCUCUCUCAAGCAAUGCCAGUGCGGCGACAGUGUAGAAGCCAAAAUUGACAUUAUCAGAUAUUGUAGCUUUUCUUUUCGCAUGGUUUGAGUCGUUACCGUAUGUGAUUGGGUUCUCUUAUAAAAAGUCUUUAUUCAGAAGAAGAAAAAUAGGGUUAUUGGAUUAGUUAGGAUAUAUGUUGAAUGAAUAAUGUCGGAAAUGUAAUGGUGUUUGUCUCAGGAAUGUAAAAGUAAGGAGAAUAGGAAAUGUGAGGAGUGUCUGCAUAGUACAGAGAUAUACAUCAUAGUUUGAAUGAAAAUAUUUUAAUAUAAUUGAGAUUAGACUGUCUAUCAGAACCAUUUUUCUGACUUUUUCACAUAUUUCUGGAAGACUGGCUACGAUUUCCCGGGGCGUUCUAGGAAUGGAGAAGGAAGACUUGAAGCGACAGGUAGAGAUGCUGCGGAUACAUAAAGAUUUACAGAGAAUGUUUGUCUCUGACGCUGUUAAAGAUAUGAUUUGCUUCAUCGACCAAAACAUUAAUGAAGAUGGUCUAGUAAUACCUCCAGAUAAGAAGAAGAAUCCUUGGGAUAAUUCAAGAAAGUGUUCAAUAUUGUAAAUUAAACAGUCAUGCAAUUUCAACAUUUUAUUAGCUGGUUAAUAUUAUGUGUAUUGAUAUUAUCAACAUACAUCUAUUAUUAGAGGUAUCACAUACGUUUUUAUACUAGUAAUGU